UCAGCUGCUGCUGUGUUUGGGACUGACCCUAGUCUGUGUCCAUGCAGAAGAAGCUAGUUCUACGGGAAGGAACUUUAAUGUAGAAAAGAUUAAUGGGGAAUGGCAUACUAUUAUCCUGGCCUCUGACAA